rnacentral:rRNA from 1 species
GACGAACGCUGGCGGCGUGCUUAACACAUGCAAGUCGUACGGUAAGGCCCUUUCGGGGGUACACGAGUAGCGAACGGGUGAGUAACACGUGAGUAACCUGCCCACAACUUUGGGAUAACGCUAGGAAACUGGUGCUAAUACUGGAUAUGUGCUCCUGCUGCAUGGUGGGGGUUGGAAAGCUCCGGCGGUUGUGGAUGGACUCGCGGCCUAUCAGCUUGUUGGUGGGGUAGUGGCCUACCAAGGCGGCGACGGGUAGCCGGCCUGAGAGGGUGACCGGCCACAUUGGGACUGAGAUACGGCCCAGACUCCUACGGGAGGCAGCAGUGGGGAAUAUUGCACAAUGGGCGCAAGCCUGAUGCAGCAACGCCGCGUGCGGGAUGACGGCCUUCGGGUUGUAAACCGCUUUCAGCAGGGACGAAGCUUUUUGUGACGAUACCUGCAGAAGAAGCACCGGCUAACUACGUG